ensembl:lncRNA
AUAAUAACCUCAAGCAUAUGACGUAUACAAACUUGUAACAUCGUUUGAUAUUGUACUUACUUAAACUUUUUUCCUCUAGUUUUGCGACUGUCGAAUGGUAAAAUUUCCUUUUUUCCAUUCCUUCACUUUCGUCGCUGGCGGCAUGAACCCUACAAGGGAGACAAGUGGGCUCGCGUGAGGUUUCCUGUCACCUUUCCAAUCUCACCUCUCGCAGUCUCACUCCUGGGACCAACUGAGGCUGUCUCAGCCCUCCCCUGGGCGGGGCCAAUAGCGAGGAACCGGAUUCCCAACCCCUCCUUCGUCGGCGCCCCCACCUCCAGUGCGUCUCCAAGGAGACGCCCACGACGCGGGGCGAGGAUCAACCCCUCCCACCUCAGCACUCUACCUCCCUUGCGUCUCCGAGGAGACGCCCACGACGGUGGGCCGGGGCGGCGAGUGGGGAAUGGGGUCGUAUUGGCGGGGUAACGCGGGCGACGCUUUACGGCAAUGGUGAGCAGGGUCGCAGUCGAACCUCGCCAGCUAUCGCGCGAAGCUCAGAGAGAACCGGUUUUUUUCCCGCUGGAGCGUGGCCUCAGCCACGUUGCUCCACUCAGUCUCCUUUGUGUCCUUUCCCUGGGGCAACGCGGGGUGACGCGGGGCCGGGACCAGCACCCCUCUGGCCGGAGGGACCCUCCCCAUCCUCUAACGUCUGAGCAGCCUGUACCCUGCGUGCAAGGUCGUGGUAAGAUAAUCAAAGGGCACGAUCAACAGCUCAUAUAUUGCCUUGCUGUGGACUCAGAGCGCAAGGACAGACGAAGACCAGACACUGACUUUACAUUUUUGAUAGGUCGCGCCUUGCUAAAAUAAUAAGAGUGUGAUCAACAGCUCCUACGUUGCCUUGGUGUGGAGCCAGCAUUGAGGCAUAGACAAAGAACAGACACUGAUUUCACACUUCUCGUAGGUACAUAAUACAGCCCUGAGUGGUGCUUUGGUUCUGUUACCCGCUUCUGUACAGUAGGCACCUCUCUCAAGGCAGGUCCCUCACCGAAUUUCUCGGGUUACUGUCUGAUGAGUAGCGUGUUCAGAUAGACUUAGUCGCUACAGCUGUAUCAUCAUAAUGAUCAGAAAAGUUUUCCCUGCUUGAUUCAACUAAAACUGGAGCCCGGCAAGGGCCAUUAUUUUCCUGGAGCUGAUUUCACGCGUCUGAUGGGUGUGGAAGAGAACUCCCCGGUGUACUUUGUGUUUUAUUCCUUUGCCUUUCAGAAAGAUGAUUUUCCAAAGUGUUUUAAUCCAGUUUAUACUGGUUCUGUGGAGGUGCAUCCUUAAUGCUAAGACUGAGCAAAGGCAGGGUUAGUUCAGCGACCUGAGUCCUUCUGAACCUAUCAAAAGUAGCCUUCCUGCAGGAUGGGCCAGGUGGCCAGGGGCAGGAGCUUCAGUGCCUUGUUUCUGAACAUGGCCGCUGCUGAGGCCACGCCCCCAAGGGCCUGACAGCCAGGGGCUCCUUGGUGGGGAAGCCAGGCCCCGGAACACCACCACCUGUUGCUCCCACACCUGCUCUGGUGAGGUGGCAGGCUGCCAGGUUUGCCCAGGAUCUUCGGAGUGCUGGCAACCCUCACUUCCUCCCAUCACAGGCCUUUCCCUGGCAGGAUCCACAGGAAGGGCCUGCAUGCCAUGCUGAAAACGCUUCCCCUUCAUGGAAUUGAUUUCCCAGAAAUGCUAUUGCCCUCUCCUGCUGGGCCACUCCCUCCGCCCUAUGUUGGUGAAAAAAGGCUCUAGUUGUGCCCAAGCGCCUUUUAAGUGCUGUAACGGGGCGUCACUCUAAUGGAUUGUUGAAGAAAGAGGUGUCUCCUCCUUAGGGGGCUUCUCUUUGGCAGUAAGGUCAUACCUUUGUGGAUAUCUAAAGCAUCCUGUCCACCUGUAGUCCAUGUUCAUAGCAAUCUAGGAGAUUCUGAGUCCACAUGGCCUGGACCCUACGUUUUCUGGCGAUCACUAUGUGAUAUGUUCUGUCAGGUUAUUAUUGAUCAAGUUUGAAGCCAGAAUUCCCUUGAUGCUGUAAUAAUUAGGCUUUGGUUGAAGGCCUUUGCCACUUGGAAUAAAUCCAGGUUGUAACCACA